rnacentral:miRNA from 1 species
GUAUUGGGUUGGCUGAAAAGCUCAUUCGGGUUUCCAGAAGUGGUAACAGAAAAACCCGAACGAACUUUUUGGCCAA